rnacentral:rRNA from 1 species
UGGAUUAGGCAUGCAAGUCGAGCGAGAACCGGUUUCGGCCGGGGACAGCGGCGAACGGCGUAGUAAUGCAUCGGAACGUACCCUCUGGUCGGGGAUAGCUACGGGAAACUGUAGGUAAUACCCGAUAAUCUCUGUGGAGCAAAGGUGAGAUUCCGCCGGAGGAGCGGCUGAUGUGAUAUUAGCUAGUUGGUGGGGUAAUGGCCUACCAAGGCGAUGAUGUCUAGGGGGUGUGAGAGCAUGGCCCCCACGACCGGAACUGAGAUACUGUCCGGACACCUACGGGUGGCUGCAGUCGAGAAUCUUCCGCAAUGGACGAAAGUCUGACGGAGCGACGCCGCGUGCGGGAUGAAGGCCCUUGGGUUGUAAACCGCUGUCAGAGGGGAUGAAAUCGUCGGAGGUACUCCUCCGAUGUUGACAGAGCCUCAAAGGAAGCACGGGCUAAGUACGUGCCAGCAGCCGCGGUA